rfam:Salmo salar isolate Sally breed double haploid chromosome ssa22, whole genome shotgun sequence.
UGCAUUCACUACUGUAGAUUGCUCUGGAUAAGAGUGUCUGCUAAAUGACUAAAA